ensembl:snRNA U2 U2 spliceosomal RNA
AUCGCUUCUCGCCCUUCUGGCUAAGAUCAAGUGUAGCGUCUGUUCGUGUCGGUUUAAUAUCUCGUAUGUCCACUAUAAGCAGCCGACAACAAAUUAAAUGGAUUUUUAGCUUCGCUCCACACAUGGACAUUAGAGUGCGAGCGGUGGAUGCUUCUCUUUCCUUGCAGCUAAAUCGAGGAGUGAAGAAAAUAUAGA